GUGAAAGAGAUUCAUUGGACUUAGGGUAGACCGAACGUUGAGUUGCUUCCUCUGACACUGGACGUAGUAGGUCAACAUUAGUAUAUAUCAUACAUUAUAUGAACAGCACAGAUACAGAAGUGGGGGGAUUUUGAGAUGGAACCAGAGCGGCCAAAGUACAUUCACAGCCACCUGAGCGUUGAGUUGCAAAGGAAGAUGAGAAAGCGUGAUUUUUUGACCAUGAAACAGCUUGCAUUGGGAUUAAAAGGUUGCGAAGCGGGAGAAAUAGAGGCGGUAGAGGAUAUGCACGAUUUGUUCAACUUGAUGAAUAACAAGGACAUUAUUUCAGUUGGAAACUACGAAGCGCUGAAGAAAAUGGUGACGGAUGCUAAAAUAAUAGUAUUGCUAAAAGUCAUUGAAGAAGCAGAGAACAAAAUACAUAAUUAUUUUGCAGCAAGCGCGCCACCGCCGAACAUGUAUAUGUAAGAAGUUAAAGCCUGCCGGCCUCUCUACAGCAACGCAUACAACUGAGAGCAGCAUCGGCUGAGAGUGACAUUUUGUUUCCUUCUACUAUGACCAUAGAUUGAUUUUUCACUAGAUAUUCACAGAUAUGUCUCUGGCCAUUUAUGAACUUUUUUCUGUGAGUGUUAAGUAACAUACAUUGCCUUAAUUAAAAGGUAUAAGGGGCGAAUAAAUUUAAUUAAGUGAGUUUUGUUUGAG